rnacentral:snRNA from 1 species
UAGUGUUGUAGUGUGUUAGAAUUUAUCUAGCAGGCUUUCCAGUCCACCCCGGAAGGCCCCC